rnacentral:sRNA from 1 species
ACGACGGGCACUAAAAUCCACACAUGCGUCGACACUUCUGCCCGGGUGCCCCUGGCCCGAGCCGCGCCUGCCUUUAACGCGCGUGCUCCCUUGGGGUUGGCAGCAAGGGACGCAUGGAGGCUUAAC